AGAGGCCCCAAGUGCAGCACGCGGUGUUCCCUGCUGUGAUCUAGAAAUGCCCAUCCCCUGAACUUACCACACGGCUCGUGUCACCUCCAGACCCACUUCUCGUACAGGUCAAGGGACCCUUGACGAUCCACCGACUCACCGGCUGGGGCGGAACAGACACUAGAUGAACGGAAACUUUGAAAGUGAAACCAUGGCCAUCAGUUACUGAAGACCACAGAGGCCUAUGACAGUCUUCUUUAAAGUCACACAAUGCAGCCAACCUUGCAUUUCUGGAAUAUAUCCUCCAAUAUUCCUAACUGAGAUGCGUAUUAUCCAUUUUUGAUGCUAUUUUGGUUUUACAGAACUUAUUUGUGAAUUCUUGGAGGAGGCAGCUCUAAGAUAAUUUUCUACAUUUCUUCAAUAGUAACCAGUCUAUUUAAAUUUU